rnacentral:rRNA from 1 species
AACGAACGCUGGCGGCAUGCCUAACACAUGCAGGUCGAACGAGACCUUCGUGUCUAGUGGCGCACGGGUGCGUAACGCGUGGGAACCUGCCCUUAGGUUCGGAAUACCUCCCCGAAAGGGGUGCUAAUACCGGAUAAUUUCUUCGGACCAAAGAUUUAUCGUCUUUGGAUGGGCCCGCGUUGGAUUAGCUUGUUGGUAGGGUAAAAGCCUACCAAGGCGACGAUCCAUAGCUGGUCUGAGAGGAUGAGCAGCCACACUGGGACUGAGACACGGCCCAGAAUCCUACGGGAAGGAGGAGUGGGGAAUAUAGGAAAAUGGGCGAAGGGCUGAUGCAGCAAGGCCGCGUGAGUGAUGAAGGCCGGAGGGUAGUAAAGCUCUUUUACCCGGGAUGAUAAUGACAGUACCGGGAGAAUAAGCACCGGCUAACUCCGUG